AGACAUUGAAUUCCAGAGACAAGAUCAAACAGAUUGAAGUUGCUUUAGAGGAGGCGCAAUCAUCACUCAGUCUAUCAACUAUCAGAAUUAACUUCUUGAAAGCGGAGUUAAUACAAGCCUACAAGGAGGAGGAGAUGUAUUGGCAACAGAGGAGUAAAGAUAAGUGGGCACCAAAAGGUGAUCUGAACACAAAGUAUUUCCAUGCCUCUGUUAAAGCAAACAGAUCCAGAAGCAGAAUCAACAAGCUGAUAGAUGAUAGAGGCCAAGAACAUUUUUCUGAAGCUGCCAAAGGGGGAGUUGCAUCGGAAUAUUUCACAAAACUGUUCUCCUCUACCAAUAAUGGAGACUUCUCGGAGAUUUUUGAAGGUUUUUCACAACGUGUAACACCUGGAAUGAAUGAAUUUUUGGAUAGAGAGGUCACUAAUGAAGAGGUCCGAGAGGCUGUUUUCUCAAUCAAGCCAAGCAGUGCUCCCGGACCUUAUGGGAUGAGAGAAUUAUUCUUUCGGAAGUAUUGGGGUACUAUUGGAGAGCAGGUCACUAAAGAGGUAAAGGAGUUUUUUACCACUAAUCAAUUCCCCGGAGAAUGGAAUUACACCCAUUUAUGUUUACUUCCGACGAUAGAAGAUCAUGUGAUCAUGGCAGACCUAAGACCCAUCAGCUUGUGUUCAGUUUUGUAUAAAAUCAUCUCGAAGAUCAUCGUGAGAAGGAUGAAGCCUCUGAUGGAAGAUAUAGUUUCUCCUACUCAGUCGGCUUUUGUGGAGGAGAGAUUAAUUUCAGACAAUAUUCUUAUUGCCCACGAGAUCAUCCAUGCCUUGAGAACAAAUGAGAGAGUAUCCAAGGAUUUCAUGGCAAUAAAAUCCGACAUGUCCAAGGCCUAUGACCGAGUGGAGUAGAACUACCUGCGUGCCUUGCUGAAAGCGUUGGGUUUUGAAGAUGUUGGAGUGAAAAGAUUAUGUUCUGUGUUUCAACGGUUAAAUACUCAACGCUCAUUUAUGACCAGCCUUUUGGAUGCAUUCAGCCAGAGCGAGGGAUCAGACAGGGAGAUCCUCUUUCUCCAUUUCUGUUUGUAAUGUGUACUGAGGGUCUGAUACACUUGCUAGAGAAAGCGGUGCAGGAAGAAAAAACCUCAAGGAAUUUAAUUCACCUCAGAAGGACCAAUGAUCCAUCAUAUGUAAUUUGCAGAUGAUAGUCUACUGAUAUGUAGAGCUUCUCAGAGCAAGCGACUGAAUUGGUGAAGAUACUCAAAAUCUAUGAGCAGGCUACGGGACAGAAGGUGAAUUUAGAGAAGUCGGCCAUCACUUUUGGCUCCAAGGUCACAGAAACUGUGAAAGCCUCAAUCCAAACGAUCAAUGAGAUUGUCAAAGAAGGUGGAACAUGAUCGUAUCUAGGCCUACCUGAAUGUUUCAGUGGCUCUAAAACAGAAAUGUUGGCUUACAUAUACGAUAGGCUCAAGUCGAGGCUCUCUGGCUGGUUUGUUAAGCAAUAGUCUCUUGGUGGAAAAGAGGUUCUGAUCAAAGCAUUGGCUAUGGCGGACUUCUGGUGGAACUCUUUAGAGCACAAGCGGAAAAUGCACUGGCUCAGUUGGUCUACGUUGUGUCUGGCAAAAGAACAGGGAGGUUUGGGCUUCAAAGAUAUACAAAGCUUCAAUCAAGCUCUUUUGGCCAAGCAAGCGUGGCGAAUCCUCAAUCACCCUGAAUCUCUCUUCGCAAUAUUUUUCAAGCGCAGGUACUUCGAAAAAUCAGACUUUUUAAAUGCGAAAAAUGGAUCGAGACCUUCGUAUGGAUGGAGAAGCAUACAAUUUGGAAAGGAGCUGUUAAGUCAAGGUUUGAGGAACACUUGGGUAAUGGUACGACUGUCUCAGUGUGGGUGGAUGAUUGGAUAGAAGGAGAUGUGAGAAGGAGACCGCUGAUGAAAAAUAUCUUUGUGGACUUGAUGCUCACAGUUGAUAAGCUGAUUGACCCUCAAAAUAACUGUUGGAGGCUGGAUAAGUUGCAAGAGUUGUUUUAUGAAGAAGAUAUCAACAGAAUCUUGGCGAUGCAAACUGCUUUUGAUCAACAAGAUUAUUGGGUCUGGUUACACAACAGGAAUGGUAGCUAUUCAGUGAAGUCGGGAUAUUGGUGCAUCAAUAGAUUCAACCGAGAAGAGGAAAUCAGAGUAGCAGAGAUGAGACCUUCUUUGAACGAUCUGAAGACCGAAGUUUGGAAAAUACCCACUUUCCCAAAGAUUAAGAACUUCAUUUGGAGAGCAAUUAGUAAUGCAUUUCCUGUUGGUGAACUUUUGGUCAAAAGAGGUAUCAAAAUGGAUCUGGUUUCUCAAGCCUGUGGCUAUCAGGGUGAGUCUAUAAAUCACAUCAUUUUUGGAUGCUCCAUAGCAAGACAGGUUUGGGCAUUGGCCAAUGUUCCUACUCUGCAAUUUGGUUUCGAUGGCGUUUCACACUUCUCCAACUUUCACUGUCUGUUUCUGAUGAUGAAAAACAGAGAGAAAUAGAAAUGAUAUUCCUUGGAUAGUUUGGUACUUGUAGAAAUACAGAAACAGGGUCAUUUUUGAAGGGAAGAAGUACUGUCCUAUGGAGCUGGGGGAGAAAAUUAUGGAGGAGUCACAUUUCUGGGUUUUGGCUCAAAGUAAUGAGAAUAGAAGGAAGGCUGAAGAACAGGAGGCAGAGAUGGAAGUUGUGAAAGAAAUCUUGGUCUGUUCCUCAUCGUGGUUGGCUAAAAUGCAACAUCGGAAUUGCGUGGGACAAGAAGCAAUCUAGUAGUGGAGCUUCAUGGGUGGUAAGGGAUGAUCGCGGGAAGGUCCAAAUGCACAGUACGAGAGCGUUCUCGAACACUGCCUCCCUUCAUGAAGCGAAGUACAAAGGUCUACUCUGGGCUCUGGAAAGCUGUCAUGCGCAUCACCUAAACAGAGUCAUCAUUGCCUUUGAUGAUGCAACUUUGAUCAAUGUGAUCCUAAGACCACAGGCAUGGCCAAACUUCAGAAGUCAGUACGUGCAGAUUUUUGAAAGGUUGAAGAAACUAGAAUGGUGGAGGGUGAUGAAGGAAGAUAGAUCAACUAACACAGGGGCUUUCAUCAUAGCUCAGAGCGUGAUUAAGGGAGGCUAUUAUCAGUCGUAUGUUGCAGAGGGGCCACCCCUUUGGUUGCGCGAUCUUUUUGAGAGUGAGGAAGCUCGGCCCUGUGUGUAGUUGAUCUCUUAUAUCGAAUUUUCUUUAAAAGAAGGAGUUGUUUUUUGGGUAUAGAAGGCAAAGGAACCUCUGUUAACUAGAAGCCUUGUGUGUGAGUUCAUGAUUUUUGGAAGGAAAUGGGAGGUGUAGACUUGUUUGUGGAAGAGUCUUAUUGUAGUUCUUUUGGUUGUACCUUAACUGGAUGUUUGAUCUUUUAUGAUCGUGGAAUGAAAUUCAUAGAUGACAAAAAAAAACAAACCGUUCAAGUUUCAAUCCAAGCCACCUCCUCUCUGGAUCUCACUGAUCUUCUUCUUCCUCACAGAACUCCAACGUCGCUAUCUUCCACGCACACACCGCUUAUGCUACCUCCUCCAGAACGCCCUCCUCAUCCGUGUCGUCAUGCUCUCUCAGCCAUAUCUCCGGUGCUCUGCUACUGUUCUCCUCCAUAUUCUAUCUCUGUCAAUCGUCAAACCAUGGGAAAGAUUCAAGCAAAAUGGAAAAAAAAACAUGAAUCAAAUAAAAGACGAGAUAUUUAGUUAAAAUUUAAACCGUAGUGAAGCAAGAGGUGAUAUAUCUUUAAGACCUUAGCAAUCUCUGGAUGUGAUGCAUUUUUCUCAGUCAUCUUAACUUCCAUUGUUUCAUCCAUCUAAAUCCAUCCAUUAUCCCUUGCAAGAAGAACUCAGCUUCUUUGCUAAAGCUUGGAACUUGGGUGAUUUCAUGAACUUUUGAUAGCUUAGGAAGCCAAUUAAUCUAGCAAAACAAGAACAUGGGCGAAUUAGGACGAAACUACGUUCUACUGAACAACAAGGACAAAAUAAGAACACAAAAUCACCUUCUAUUUAACAACAAAAAUCAAAUUAAAAACACAGAGAAAGAGUGAAAGACAGAGAGUGCGAGAGAGAGAAAGAGAGGUCACCGGUGGUGGUGGCGAUGAGCGGUGGUUUUGGUGAUUCCGGUGAAGACAAAGACCGGCGAAGACGUAUGUGAGAAGCGGCAGAGAAACUCAUCAGGCGCAGAGCUUCAUCUCGGCCCAAUCAAAACGGCUCGUCUCUGGGCUUCGUCGUCAGGCAGAUGAACUUCGCGAGAGACGGAAGUUGACGUUGCUCUAGCUUUGUCGUCAGGUGCAGGAGGAGGCAUAGGUUGGUGUUAGAUACGAUGUGUGACACCCCGACCCAGCAUAGCUGUAAUGCUCGGCGAUAUCAUGACACUUGUCUCCAGCCACAAGGCCAAAACAAUGUGUCUUUAGGAUCCCAAGACGUCUUUGACAAAAACCUACCAAUAUGAGCCGAACCUGAAAUGAAAAGGGAAAAGGAGGGGUGAGUAUUUCGACAAAAUCUCAGUGAGAGAAGCUUUAGGAGCCUUAAAAUCAAUCACCAACAAUCAUCACACAACAUAGCUUAAGCAUCUAACUUAAACAUUCAAAAAAUCGAAAGCAAUCAACAAGAAACGAGGAUAAACCCCGACGGUGCCAACAUGAGACUAACGCCACAUCACGCUGUCUCCACGCCUCCCAUGUUGUCUUGUGAGAACUCGCCACAUCACUCUGUCUCCGUGAGUUCCACACCUUCACGCGAUCACGCCACAUCACGCUGUCUCCACGUGAUCCGCGCCACCACAUUCACACGGUCACGCCACAUCACGCUGUCUCCACGUGAUCCGUGUUACUACAUUUUUACUUCACAUACAAGCACGCCGCAUGCCCGCUCCGGCGAUGAAUCAUGCCAACUCAAACGAUUGCCACAUGACCCAACAAGAAACGAUGUAACGCCCGAGACAUACAUAUAUGUCAUUCCACCACGUUACACCGGCACACAUAGGCCUUAAGCCUUUCUCUAACUCAUUUACAUCUCCCAAUUAUAUAGAUAUCAUCUUCUUAUACAAUAACCCCAAUCAAUACAAUCAUCACAUUCAAUCCUCAAACAUCAUUUAACCAUAUUUUAACAACCUUAGCAAUAGAUCUACGUUUUUCACACAUCAACCAUCAAGAUAUUUAUAUAUAUCAUAUGUAUAGUUAUUUAUAUUAGUAGAUCUAUAGAAAGUAACAAGUAUGGAUGAAUGAUCAACUUAGACACUUCUACCAUGAUGAGAUAAUGAUAGAAGGACAUAGAGAUUGCAACAAGCCUUCACCUUGGCCUUAGAUAUGUGAAUGGAAAGGAGAGAAGAAACAGAUCUGGAGCUUAGGGAUUUCCACGAACUAGAUCUAUAAUAAAAAUGUUUGGUGCUACCACCAAAGAAUCCGGGAUGAGAGAUCCAAGAUAAAAGAGAUCAAAGAGCUGGAGAAAAUGAGAACUAGGGUUCCUUACCUCAACAAUGACCAGAUCUAGAAAGAAGACAGAGAGAGAUCUGGACAUAGAAUUGGAUCGGUUCAUCGGGGAUCUCCAAGGCUUAGCUCCAGUCUUCAGCAAAUGGCGAACACCAAGGAGAAAGAGAGAGACAGAGAGAUGCAGGCGAGAGAGAAGAGAAAAGAGAAACUUUGACGGCUAGGGUUUUCAGAGCUCUCUGAAACUCGGCAGGGCUUCGCUCUGAUUUCUAAAUGGGAGAGAAGAGAAGAAGGAGGCUCUUUUUUAUAGGAAACGAAGAGAAAACCCUAGGGUUUACUACACGGGCCAGAAAAGAAAGACAAAAACUAAUGGGCUUUGGUCCAAAUCAAGUUAAUAAUUAAGAAAAACAAAACUAUUCCGGUUUGGGAGAACUGGAAUGUGACAAUUCUACCCCACUUAACUGGGAAUUCGCCCCGAAUUCCGAACGGAGCAAGGGGAAAACUCAACCAGUAAGUUAGAGAUUAGAAACUUAUUCAAUGCAUAUUGAUUUGAGUCAAGACUGACCCUCUAGGUUAGGACUAGAGAGUCUUUCCUGGCCUCUGAUACCACUUGUGACACCCCGACCCAGCAUAGCUGAAAUGGUCGGCGAUAUCAUGACACUUGUCUUCAGCCACAAGGCCUAAACAAUGUGUCUUUAGGAUCCCAGGACGUCUUUGACAAAAACCCACCAAUAUGAGCCGAACCUGAAAUGAAAAGGGAAGGAGGGGUGAGCAUUUCGACAAAAGCCCAGUGAGGGAAGCUCUAGGAGCCCCGAAAUCAAUCACCAGACAAUCAUCACACAACAUAGCAUAAGCAUCUAACUUUAACAUUCAGUAAAUCAAAAGCAAUCAACAAGAAACAAGGAUAACCCCCGACGGUGCCAACAUGAGACUAACGCCACAUCACGCUGUCUCCACACUUCUCAUGUUGUCGUGUGAGAACUCGCCACAUCACACUGUCUCCGUGAGUUCCACACCUUCACGCGAUCACGCCACAUUACGCUGUCUUCACGUGAUCCGCGCCACCACAUUCACACGAUCACGCCACAUCACGCUGUCUCCACGUGAUCUGUGUUACUACGUUUUUACUUCACAUACAGGCGCGCCGCAUGCCCGCUCCGGCGAUGAAUCAUGCCAACUCAAGCGAUUGCCACAUGACCCAACAAGAAACGAUGUAACGCCCGAGACAUACAUAUAUGUCAUUCCACCACGUUACACCGGCACACAUAGGCCUUAAGCCUUUCUCUAACUCAUUUAUAUCUCCCAGUUAUAUAGAUAUCAUCCUCUUAUACAAUAACCCCAAUUAAUACAAUCAUCACAUUCAAUUUUUAAACAUCAUUCAACCAUAUUUUAAUAACCUUAGCAAUAAAUCUAUGUUUUUCACACAUCAAGCAUCAAGAUAUUUAUAUUUAUCAUAUGUAUAGUUAUUUAUAUUAGUAGAUCUAUAGAAAGUAACAAGUAAGGAUGAAUGAUCAACCUAGACACUUCUACCAUGAUGAGAUAAUGAUAGUAGGAGAUAGAGACUGCAACAAGCCCUCACCUUGGUCUUAGAUCUGAGAAUGGAAAAGAGAGUAGAACCAGAUCUGAAGCUUAGGGCUUUCCACGAACCAGAUUUAUAAUAAAAAGGUUGGGUCCUACCACCAAAGAAUCUGGGAUGAGAGAUCCAAGAUAAAAGAGAACAAAGAGCUGGAGAAAAUGAGAACUAGGGUUCCUUACCUCACCAGUGACCAGAUCUAAAAAGAAGACAGGGAGAGAUCUGGACAUAGAAUUGGAUCGGUUCAUCGGGGAUCUCGGGGAUCUCCAAAGCUUAGCUCCAGUCUUCAGCAAACGGCGAACACCAAAGAGAGAGAGAAACUGAGAGACGCAGGCGAGAGAGAAGAUAAAAGAGAGACUUUGACGGCUAGGGUUUUCAGAUCUCUCUGGAACUCGGCAGGGCUUCGCUCUAAUUUUUAAAUUGGAGAGAAGAGAAGGAGGAGACUCCUUUUAUAGGAAAAAAAGAGAAAAUCAUAGGAUUUACUACACCGGUCAGAAAAGAAAGACAAAAACUAAUGGGUUUUGGUCCAAAUCAAGUUAAUAAUUAAAAAAAAAAACAAAACUAUUCCGGUUUGGGAGAACCGGGAUGUGACAGUCUCCAAGAGCUUUGCCGGUGAGUUCGUCGUUGAUGGAGGUGGUCUCAUCGUCAACCUAUUUGCAGGCUGGCCUAGAAAAGGGAGAUAACUGUGUUAUGGUCUGUUUGUGUUGGAAAGUGACAAUGAUUCUCUCGGUCAGUUUCUACCGGGUUGAGAAAGGUGGGAAGAUGCUCUGGGAGGUGUCAUAGCUGUUGCAGAUGGGUUUUUUUUUUUCUGAUUACGUUUUGGACACAAGUGAGAUAUGAUCAUGGUUUCCUAAUUGACAAAGCUCAUACCGCAACUAGCUACUUCCAGAGGUUCUGCAACAAUGUGAGAUUUUGAAUUAUAAUCCUCAUUGCUAUUCUCUUCUAAGGUUGUUUAGCCAUGUUUUGAUAGCUUGUGGGGGUUGUUGGUGAAGCAGUAUAGUAGCCAUGCUUGAGGAAGUUUGUUCUGAAAAUAGGCAAUGUUGGAGACUGUGGACUACUUAAGCUUCUUAGACGAGGCCAGAUCAUAUUUUCAACUACUCCACAAGAGCAUUACUUUGACUGUCCUAUACACCUUAUGUUACCUCUCCAUGGUGGUGGUGGUGGUAGCAACAUGACAAAGAAGAUCUUUGUAGGUAAUUAGAGAGGCGGAGUUCAAGAAUUGCUUUGAUCAGUUUGGUACAAUUUGCUGAUGUUGUCUUAGUAUGAUCACAGCACACAGAGGCCGAGAGGGUUUGGCUUCAUUACUUUUUAUUUUGAUGAUUCGGUUGAUAGGGCUGUUGGUGUGUGUGUGAGCUUUUUUUGUAUACUGAACUUGAGCUGUGUGAAGUUAAUACUGAAUAUUACGACAAAUAGCGAAAAUUAUAAAGACAACUAGUUCAUAUUAGUUAUUGUUUUACUAGGUGUCUUCCUCCGGUAAAAAAAUUUAAAAUAUUUUUUAACAGAUAAAUGUAAAUUAUAUUUUAAAAUAAAAUUUUAUUCAUAUUGUAAAUUUUUUUUUCUGUAUCAAUAUUUAAU